rnacentral:rRNA from 1 species
CAGCACCUCAAGUGGUCAGGAUGAUUAUUGGGCCUAAAGAAUCCGUAGCCGGCGCUGUAAGUUUUCGGUUAAAUCUGUACGCUCAACGUACAGGCUGCCGGGAAUACUGCAGCGCUAGGGAGUGGGAGAGGUAGACGGUACUCGGUAGGAAGGGGUAAAAUCCUUUGAUCUAUUGAUGACCACCUGUGGCGAAGGCGGUCUACCAGAACACGUCCGACGGUGAGGGAUGAAAGCUGGGGGAGCAAACCGGAUUAGAGACCCGAGUAGUCC